CAGUCGAGCGGGGAGAUGUAGCUUGCUACAUUUCCUAGCGGCGGACGGGUGAGUAAUGCUUAGGAAUCUGCCUAUUAGUGGGGGACAACAUUCCGAAAGGAAUGCUAAUACCGCAUACGCCCUACGGGGGAAAGCAGGGGAUCUUCGGACCUUGCGCUAAUAGAUGAGCCUAAGUCAGAUUAGCUAGUUGGUGGGGUAAAGGCCUACCAAGGCGACGAUCUGUAGCGGGUCUGAGAGGAUGAUCCGCCACACUGGGACUGAGACACGGCCCAGACUCCUACGGGAGGCAGCAGUGGGGAAUAUUGGACAAUGGGCGAAAGCCUGAUCCAGCCAUGCCGCGUGUGUGAAGAAGGCCUUUUGGUUGUAAAGCACUUUAAGCGAGGAGGAGGCUACUUGGAUUAAUACUCUAGGAUAGUGGACGUUACUCGCAGAAUAAGCACCGGCUAACUCUGUGCCAGCAGCCGCGGUAAUACAGAGGGUGCGAGCGUUAAUCGGAUUUACUGGGCGUAAAGCGUGCGUAGGCGGCUUCUUAAGUCGGAUGUGAAAUCCCUGAGCUUAACUUAGGAAUUGCAUUCGAUACUGGGAAGCUAGAGUAUGGGAGAGGAUGGUAGAAUUCCAGGUGUAGCGGUGAAAUGCGUAGAGAUCUGGAGGAAUACCGAUGGCGAAGGCAGCCAUCUGGCCUAAUACUGACGCUGAGGUA
rnacentral:rRNA from 1 species